rnacentral:rRNA from 1 species
UCGCCUGUUUUUCAAAAACAUCUCUUAUAAUUUAUUAUAAGUAAAGUCUGCUCAAUGUAACAUAAAUAGCCGCAGAAUUUUAACUGUGCUAAGGUAGCAUAAUCAUUUACCUUAUAAUUAAAGGUUUGUAUGAAAGACUUAACAUUUAAAUUUCUUUUUUAUUAAUAUCUUCUAAAUUAAACUAAUCAUAAAAAUGUGAUUAUAAAAAAAUAAGACGACAAGACCCUAUUGAACUUUACUAAAGUUUAGCUGGGGAAGCUAAUUAAAUACUAUUUUAAUUUUUUUAUUAUCAUAAAUUUCUGAUUACAUCAUUAUGAACAAGUUACCAUAGGGAUAACAGCGUAAUAAUUUUUUAAAGCUCUUAUUAAAAAAAAAGUUUACGACCUCGAUGUUGAAUUAAAAUUACUUUAAACCGCAAUAGUAUGAAAGUUGGUCUGUUCGACCUUUAAAUUUUUACAUGAUCUGAGUUCCAAACCGGA